rnacentral:lncRNA from 13 species
AGUCAUUAUGUAAAACUAUUUUUGAAAGCAACUUUUUUCUUUGUUUCAUCAAGUCAUAGUAUUUCUGUACUGAACAAUAGAGUUGAAUGAAGUUUGGCUUAAAUAUCCUUAUUUUAUUUCUGUAUUUAGUUGAUAAUGAGUGAACUGGAUAAUAUAUUUACUGAAUAUUCAUCCUAUGCUAUAUAAUAUUUAUAACUAUACAAAAUACAAGAAUAAGGAGUUCCUAUUCUGUGACUGCUAAAUUAAGCACCUCUAGAUCAGCCUUUUUAUCCAUUUUUCAUGUUUUCUUCCUUCUCUUAGGAAGAGUUGUGGUUUCUGAAAUGGUGGAAAUUUGAAUAUCUACAUUUCACAUCCACUUCUUGUGGGAGAGGUUCAUGAAGAAGUGAUUGGGAAGGAGAGCAAGGUUUGGUUUGACAGUGUGCUAAGUCAACAAAGGGUAAAAAGAGAGGGGGUCCCUGUCAACUAUAUAUAUAGUUCUUCCAAGGAAAGAAACAUCGCCUCAAAUUUGCUUUUCAUCCUGUUCUGACAUUGCAAGGAAAACCUAGCGAACCUUCUUGGACCGCUUUUAUAACCUGCAGUAUUCUCAUAGGGCAAAUUUUUUAAUUUGCUCGCUUCAUGAACUUUGAAGUCUAUAAGGUGCAAGAAACCCAAGUCUACAAAUAAAAGAUUAAAAUCAUGGAGUUAAUCUCAACAACAGACAUACGUGAGACUGGGCAAUUUACAAAAGAUAGAUUUUUUGGACUUACAGUUUCGCAUGGCUGGGGAAGCCUCACGAUCAUGGAAGAACGGUUUCUGUCUUGGACCCUCCCUCCCUCUGUCUCCAUAUGGGGAAGCUUCUUUCUUGCUUGUUAA